rnacentral:rRNA from 1 species
UACAGAGGGGGCAAGCGUUGUUCGGAAUUACUGGGCGUAAAGGGCGCGUAGGCGGCCUGUUAAGUCGAACGUGAAAUCCCUGGGCUCAACCCAGGAACUGCGUCCGAUACUGGCAGGCUUGAAUCCGGGAGAGGGAUGUGGAAUUCCAGGUGUAGCGGUGAAAUGCGUAGAUAUCUGGAGGAACACCGGUGGCGAAGGCGGCAUCCUGGACCAAUAUUGACGCUGAGGAGCGAAAGCCAGGGGAGCAAACGGG